rnacentral:tRNA from 1 species
GCCCACAUAGCUCAGUAGGUAGAGCACUUCCAUGGUAAGGAAGCGGUCAUUGGUUCGAUUCCGAUUGUGGGCU